GGCUGGGUGAGUCGACCCCUAAGGCGAGGCCGAGAGGCGUAGUCGAUGGGAAAUUGGUUAAUAUUCCAAUACUUCUGUGUAAUGCGAUGAGAGGACGGAGAAGGUUAAGUCAGCCUGGCGUUGGUUGUCCAGGUGGAAGGUUGUAGGCAUGUAUCUUAGGCAAAUCCGGGGUACUCUAUGCUGAGAACUGAUAGCAAGCUGUACUUGUACAGUGAAGUGGCUGAUACCAUGCUUCCAGGAAAAGUCUCUAAGCUUCAGUUACACAGGAAUCGUACCCGAAACCGACACAGGUGGUCAGGUAGAGAAUACCAAGGCGCUUGAGAGAACUCUGCUGAAGGAACUAGGCAAAAUGGUACCGUAACUUCGGGAGAAGGUACGCUGCCGAUGGUGAGUAGUCACGCACUACAAAGCUAUUGGCAGUCGCAGAUACCAGGCCGCUGCAACUGUUUAUUAAAAACACAGCACUCUGCAAACACGAAAGUGGAC
rnacentral:rRNA from 1 species